UGAAACAAAAACCAGAAGUGCGUAGACACACCCUAAUCUAGCACCUGCUUUUGAAGCCACUUCGAAUAUUAUUAUUCUGUUUUUCUUGUGAAUUGGCUUCAAUUGGUUGUGAUUCCUGUGCAUCAAGCGUAUCUCAUAACCAGCAGUCACUCAUAGUCUAUUUUAAGUUUGGUUGUUAAAAUAAUGAGAUUUUGUUCAUGAGUGACACCUUGGUGAGGCCCAGCCUUCUCCAUUCAUGGUAUUGAUGCCACAGUCAUUGCGUUUGCAACAGCGAGGCACACACACAAACUUUCCAAAUCAUUUUCAAAGAUUCUCAGUUCUCUUUUUUUCUUUUUUUGGUGUCUAUUGUCUUCCCAGUAAUGGCUAAGACAUUGCUAGUUUGUCUCACUUCUUUUAAUUUCUCCAGAAGGCCUUAUGGCCCAAGAGUUCAUUUGGGACCAGAUUUUCAUUUCCUAAGGCUUAACUGACUUUUUUUGGGCAAAGAUCAAAAAUUUAUUCAUGCCAACCUAAGACAAAGCCGUUAGCUUAUUAUAACAUGUCACAUACAUAUUUUUAAUGAUAAAGGAAUGACUAUAGAAAUCCAAAAACAGGAACCAUAUUAAAUCUUGGCUUCAAGGAAUCCAAGACUUAGAGACGGUUUGAGAUUCAAGGAGUCUCCUUGACCUUCAGCAGCAGGAGUGCAGAGCUGUUUGGUUUCUAUAAUUAAGCAACAUAUUGCACAGCAACUAACUCAUGGCUGCUUGUUUGAUUCAAGGUCAGGACCCCAAAAGAGUAUCUGAUUGGCCCAGACAAUCUCUUAGGGUAUCUUAUACCUCUCCAACCAGCAUAAAGAAUGUUUACUAUUGGCUCAGGUACUUGGACUGAUGCCAAUCCUCUAGGGCCAGAAAAGAUGGGGUACUAGGUACCACAUGUGGCUUCCUGGGCCUGUCCCUUUAGUAGCAAAUGUGGGCAGGGUGGAUUCCCUCAAAGGAGGUUGUAGGUGGGUUGGCACAGUGCUGACCUUUUCAGAAUCCCACCUUGUGAGACACUGUGUGAGCCAAGUCGUGUGGUAGGCCAUCAAGGUAAGCUGAUGUUGUAUUGUCAAAGACGCAGGUGCAACUCAGAAAGACAGCUCCAAAGUGAUGUGCAUGCGAAAAACAUGAGGUGAAUCUCAUUAUUUAUUUGUGAUGUGCUUUAUCUAAGAGUGUUUAUUUUUCUGCUUGAUAAAUUCAGCUGUCAAAGCUCUGUGGCUUUCUCAGUCAGGGCUCCCAGUUUCCAUGAGCAGAUUGUACUCAGCACAAUUCCAACCAAUGCCAUUUGUAAAGAUUUCAAUGUGAAGACUAAAUCAAAGUCAUGCUAACUUUUGUAGUUGUCAGCCAGUUGAGGUUUUUCUUGUGAUUAAGCUGGUCAAAACUUGUUGAUUUGCAGUAACCACUGACUAAGUACCCACAGUCCUGUGGCCUACACCUUUUAACACACAUGGCGUAAAUAUCUACUUGACUUUUGAUGAUCCUUGUGGAAAAUAUACAAAGCCCACGUGCUGGUGGUCUCUCUUCCAAAGUCUAUACGGAGGCCUUGGAGAACAAGGGAUGUAUGAUGGGGGUAUUUUGAUCAGAAUGAGAAUUUAAGAAGCAAGGAAUGGGAUCCAGUGUAGAUACAUUGCUGGAAUGAUGAGAGGGUUGUGGGGUGUGCACUGGAGCUGCCCAGCAUAAAAGCAGAAUGUGUGACAAGCUGGGCCUAUAUUGCAAUUCUUAUGAACAAAAUCUCCCAGACAAAAAAAUAAAUGCCUUGAAUUCAAGGUAAGUGUUCCGCAUUUGUAUUAACUAUAGCAGAAACCACUUCUUCCCACUGCAGGUUCACAAUGCUCUUUACUCAUGCUUCUAUAUAAUCUGCACCAUCUUUUGACCACAUUAAAAAAAGUUCUUACUAUAACAUAAAUCAAAAAUGUUAUUAAAAUGGAGAGGCAGUCUCUAUAUGAUUCUUCUCUAUUUUGAAUGGAAAUUUCUUUUAAGGAAAGAUCAAUAUCUGAUUCAUCCUGGUGUUUCUGCCACGGCUUGGAACAUGCCAGGCAUUUAAUAAAUAUUUGUUGAAUGGAUGAGAGUAAGAACUUUAAUUGCCUUUUGAGUCACCAAAUUAACCGUGAUCCAAGUUGUCCUCUGUGCCAUAGCAGUAUAAUGUGGAGGAACAUCUUGAAGAGGAUCACUGACAAUUAGACACUAAUUUUAGUGUCAAGUUCAUUUAAAUUUUUCAAAUGCCUAAGCAUCAUCAAUAUAUCUUGCAGUGUGUGGAAGGGUAGACUGGCAUUGUUGGGCUCCCAGAACAAGGACAGAAUGCAUAAAGCCUACUAUGAAAGUUCUUUGAAUGAAACGUGGAAGGAAGGUGAAAAGAUGAGGAAAAAGAGGUCUUGGAGAAGAGGAUAAGCUGUUAUUUAAAUACUAGACCCUGUUAUAAGUACUUUACAUUUAUCUAGCUAGAGAGAAGAUGUGCUUCUCCCAGAUUAUAGUCAAGUCUGGGGCAGAACAGAGCAGGGCGUUUUUGAAUUCGAUCUACGAGAGUCCACUCCUGGACCUCCCUUUCCCUUGGGUCUCCUUCCCUUUGGGAUCUUUUGUCUUUUGUGAAGAAGAAUGGUCAAAGCUGGGGCAAUUAUUGUUUUUGGUUUCAACUUUGAGGCCAAUAUUGGUUCUGCACUGGCCUCUUUAUGGUAAGCCUCAAUUAAUGCAUUCUUCAGCAUAAAGUGUCAGUAAGAUGGGCAAAUCCAUUUGUUGCUGAUAGUCAGGGCUUCUGAGAUCAUAACUCUGGUACAGUGUUUUCCAAAAUAAUAAAACUUGUCUUCAAAGUGUGAGAAGGAGAGAUGAUGGGACAGAGGGUCAGACAACCUGGUCAGGUCAUGCUUGUCUGUGUGACCACUCUAACCCCUGUGUCUGCUUGAGCUACCUCAUUUCCCUGUGCUGGCAGAAGAGGUUCACUGCUUGGAAUCUCCUUUGUCUUUUAAAUAGAUCACAAUUCCCACUUCCCAGCAGGGUUCCCUAUUUCCCACCUGUUUGUUUUGUUUUUGUUUUUUGGUACCUGGGGCUGAACUCAGGACCUUAUACUUCCCAGGCAGGUGCUUACACACUGAGCUAACUAUCUGGCCCUCCUCACUUGUUUUUAUUGUUGAGAUAUUUUUGGUUGUUAAUAAAGAGCAUCUUUAUACUAGAAGUUGGAGGCCAUGUCUGAGACAAAGAAGUCCAGCAAUGGCAGGAAGACUAGGCCUGUUCCUAGCAGACUGAAAGUCUUUCUUCCAGGAACUUAGGUAUCCUGUAUCCAAACUGCCACAGAAUAGCAGAAAUCAUGCAGAAAUUUUUAAUAUUUGGCCAAAAAGGAUAAUUGAAGCGCAUCCAGAGUUUUGGUUAUUUUUUAAUGUCUGUGUGUAUGCCUCAGUGAGUCCAUAUACACUGGCGCUCAAUGAAUAUUUGUGGAUUGAAUGAAUAAAUGAACAAAUAGCAAAAGCCUAGAAAGAGGUAUCAAUCAUAAAUGUUGAAAGUAAUUACUAUUUCUUUAAAUAAUUGCAUGUUCUCAUUUUUCUAUUAUAUACAUGAAUUAGUUUUAUAAUAGUUUAAAAAACAUAGCCUAAAAUUUCUGAGAAAUUACUGAUUUGACGCUGAAGUGAAUCUUAAGAUAGGACUGGGUUUUCCAGCUGUAUUAUUGCUAACCUCAGCUUUAUUGUGUGGAUUAUAGCUACAGCCCCGUGGGUAACUUCCUGGAAGAAUGGAACUUUUCAGAAUCGGGAUCAAGUCAGUAGUUUCUAGCCAAAGCAGGAAGUAACUACUUUAUUCUUUAAGCAAAAGGAUUUUUAAAAUCACAAGAUGUUAGACGUUAUCUUGCCCAGUUUUCUUAGUUUUUAGGUAAAGAACCAGUAAAGAGAGAAAGUAACUGAGUUACUCAGUGAUAAGAUCAGCACCAGAAUCCAGGUCUUCCAGCUGUCCGCACAUUUCCCCAUUCCACAUCACACCAGUUACAGACCUGGAAAGAAACUCAAUUGUCUGGUGACACACUCAGUGGGGUAACUGAGGCAAAUUUCUUUAAGAAAGUCUUGACCACAGUGAGGAAGACCAGGAGUUGAGGUGCCAAGUCAGGCACAUCGGGGCUGUGACUGGACCUCAGCCUGGGGGUGCAAGCAUAGGAGAAAUUGUGGAAUCCAGCCCAAAUGGAUGUACCCAAAGGUGGCUGGCUGGCAGGGACUAGGACUCUCAGAAGAGGAUCAAAAAUCUCCAGUGACUCAGCAACAGAAGCCGCCAGUGGAGGAGUAAGUCAUCCAGCCUUAUUGUCUCCCCAACUGGAAGUUGCUAGAGUUCACCAAGGUUGGGUCUCAGGGCACAGAGCAGAGGCAGAGGGUGGAGAGAGGAUCAGAGGGAUACACUCGCCUUCCAGAAGAGAAAGUCAGUCCUGCCUCACUUUAGCUUCUGGUCGCUAUUUAUGUGGACAAUAGAGGUUACACUGAAAACAAAAACUUAUUAUAAAAUAAUACACAUUUACAAUAGAAAAGUGGAAACAUGAAAUUAAAGAACUAAUUAUUCUUUCAAUAUAUAUCAUUGAUAUCUUUCUAGACUUUUACAAAUCAUUCAUUUAUUUAUUCAUUCACUUAUUCCUGCCAAUGAAUGUCUCACUAUUUCAGACACGGAGAUGGGAGUAAACAAGGUCCUUAAACAUGCCUUCCCUCAAGAAGUAUACACAAUAGUGGGGAAGGAAGACUCAUGGUAAAUAAUCACAAUGUUAGAAUGUGAGACAGUGGUCAAGCUGUAAGAAGAAAAGAAAUCAGGGGAAAUGAAUAAGAGCUCCAUGAGGGGGUAUUUAAUUUUAAAUAAGGUGGCCAGAAUGUGUGUGUGUGUGUGUGUGUGUGUGUGUGUUUGUGUGUGUGACAGAGAGAAUGAGAGGGAGGAAGACAGACAGAGAGACAGAAAGACAGACAGCAUAAGCAAUGGCAUCUUUGUAGGGCUUUUCCUCGGCUAAUGGCUAAGUGUCAGCUAAUAAGGAGAGUAGGUGGUGUGACUUCCCCUCUCCCUCGCAGUUUCAAAAUGUCUCUCUUUAGAUUUUUUAAAGGGCAAAGCUUUCUCCACUCCUUAUCUUAACCAUUAAAGAAGUGCAAUGGGGCCCAAGUUUAUUAGCCAAAUGCUCCUGUGUAUCUGUCCCUUUUUAGCUGGGUGACUUGGAGGAAGUCAUUUAACCUCCUCAGCCCCAGGCUCCUCAUGUGUGAAAAUGUGAUUAUACUUGCUAGUGACCUAGUGCCCAGCAUACCAUUGAUAUUGCAUUGAUGGUAACGUUGUUCCUUCCUGGCCAGCCAUGUUCUGGUCAAAAGACAGACCAGAGGUUCCUGGGAUCACGGAGUUGUCUGAACAGUCUGUUAAUAGCAGCUGGCAUCCACAAACCAUGUGCUAUGCAAACCCCCUUACAUGUGUUAUCUCAACAAACCCUCACAUUGUAAAAUGAGGAAAUGGGAGUAUAGAGCUCUUUGCAAGCUGAGUGGUAGGUGACAGAAGCCGUCAAGGCUGAAUUGGCCAGCAUAUAGGAAGGGAAGGGCUUUCUCCUAGUGAUAUCCAGGCUGCCAGGUAAAGGAGCGUUAUUAUUAUUAUGAAAUAACUUCUUCAUAAAAUCCCUCUAGUGCAGUGGUUCUUCAGAUAGGGUGCUGGGCUGAUUGCCUGUGGAUCACUUGGGUAGAUUUUUUUCUUUUUAAAAGUACAAAUGCCUGUUGAAAUUCUAGUUGAGUAGGCCUGGGGUAAGCCAUAUGUCUGCAUUUUUAACCUGGCCCCAAGUUUGUGUGUUGUGCAGUCAGUUUUGGUCAACAGCUCCUUGGGGUCCAAAGCACUAGGACACCAAGGUAAUCUCUCUUCCAAUGGCACCUGAGGUCAUGAGUUAGCACUUUCCCAGUGGUGUAAGUGUGAGGGGUAAUCUAACCUAUGUAUGUUUCAUCUGAAUCUUUGAUAAAACUAAUGGAGUAUAAAAAGGUUACAUUGCCUUGAAACGUUAAUAUAUUUCAAUCCCCCGGUCAGUGUUCUCUGGCCUUGGAAGAUCAGUCCACAUUCUCUGAGAGUGAAUUUAUUCUUUUAAGAAAAUGGCCUUUUUAACAUUUCCCAAUAUACAUGAUAUCUAUGUUACUGUGUUAUUAUAUUGUUGCUUAUGACUUUAGACUCAGUGUGAAACCCUUCAUUUAGCUUUUUUCUGCAAUUUUAUUUGCAUGUGACUUUAUUUGCCUGAAGUCAUAUGUAAUAAAAAUCAAUGCAUUCAGAAGUUAUGUCAAUAUCACCUUGAAGAAUCAUUCUUUGUUUAGUGAUAGUUUCAGAAGUAAAUAUAUUUACACCUAUGCUAUAGCUUUCAUAACAGUGUGUUUCAGAUAUGCUGUUCUGUGCAUGCAAAGUUUCAGUCUUCAUCACUUAGUAACUUUCCUUUGUUAUGAUCAACAAAUUUACAUACUCUUUUUGUCAUGUUAUAGAUUAUGAUUUUAUGCUAUUGUUUUACUCAUUAAAGGAUAUAUAACAUGUAUUGAGGAAUAAUAAACAUAGUUACAAUUGAGCACAUUUAUCCCAGGCAAUAUUUUCUAAAUGUCACAUGUGUAUUAACUUAUUAAACUACAUUUUAAAUGAUAGCAUUAAGAUACAAUUAUUAUUCAGUGUUUGGCUUUAACCACUUUGCUUUUCUUCCUCAAAUAUCAUCUCAAAUUUUGUAACUCAAAAGAAGGCCAGUUUUUUUCCUCUCUUUGAAAAAAGAUUUCUAGUAUAUUAGUAAAAUACUUUUUCAUGGCUCUUCUGGUUCUCUAACUUAGCUGGAACUAGGACUGUUUGAGUUGGUCUUUUUGGUUAAGAUAGGAAAAUUUUAAGCAAUGAAAUAGAUUCAUAGUGGGCUUUGAAGAUGAUAGUUAGUGAAUCAUUCAUUUGUUCACUUUCAGAGCAAGAAUUUAUUGAGUGCUUACUACAUGCCAUGUAUUGUGGAAGGCAUUAAGGAUACAGGGAUCAGUAACUCAGAUUCAGAUUCUACUCUACACCUGCAUUUUUUAUCAGAAUAGUUCAUAUUCUAUGAUUUGGUUUGGAUCCAAGAGUUUUGGUGGCACAAAAUCCAUAUCAGCAUUGAACCCUCUACCCCCAUUCUCAGAAGACUCUUUCCACUAAACAGAUGCUUUGAAACUCAUUCUUUUGAAUUCUCCAGUCCUCCAGAGACAGAGGGGAUUUACCUGGAGACAAAGAUGGUUAUCUGGCUUAGUGCAGACAUAACUUAAAUGGCCACAUGAUGCUCUCGCCCAGCUCAGGGGUUAUGGCCUUCUAUUGGAUAUUCUUUCUUUCAACUGUGCAAAAGAUUCUAGUCUUGUGAUUUCUCUGAAAAACAGAUGUUUAAAUACUUGGCCUCUCCUUCUUCCUUCUAAUUUACCCUUUAGCUCAGUGCUUGCAACCUGAUUUUGGAGGGGCCAAUUCCUGUAAAUUAAUGUCCUACUUAGGCUCUGAUCUAAAUGUGGGUUAGAUUUCCAGUGAGCAUGGAAAUAGUUGGGUAGUGGAGGAAACAAAACCUCAGAGCAGCCAGAACUGCAGAGGUGCAGGCUGUGCACCAGAGCCCAAGCAGGAUGCUCUGGCAAACAGACCUUGAGGGCCACUAUGGUCAUUUCUCACUGCUGUUCUAAUGGAUCCCCACCAGCUCAGAUGGUAAAACACACAAUUAUCAUCUUACAGUGUUGAAGGCAGUUAGUUCAAAAUGUGCCUCAAUAUACUAAAAACCAAGGUUUCAGCAGGCUGUUUUCUCUGGAAGUUUUAGAGGACGAAUCCUCCCCCACCCCCCGCCAGGUUCUGGAUUCCACUGUCUCCAUUCCUUGGCUUGUGGUCCCCUUCCAUCUUCAGGUCCUCAAUGGUCGACAAAUCUUUCUCAUAUCAACUUACUCUGCCACUGAUUGUUCUAUAUUCCUUUCACUUGUAAGAACCCAAAAUAAUGACAUUUGGCUGACCUAAUAAUCUAGAACAAUCUCCAUAUCUCAAGAUCAGUUGACCAUAUCUGUAAUUCCACCAGUAGUAGUGCUAUUUCCCCCCUCCCAUGUGUUAUAUUCCACAAUUCUGAGGAUGGAGACAUUUUUAUGCCUUCCCCACUUAGGCUCAAUUAUAUAUGUUCUCCAUUCACAGUAAUAUCCACAGUGUUCCAGCUGCUACAAGUAGGAAGCCUUCUGAGUGGCAGACAACUGUUAACAAUAGGAAAGGAGGACUGGGAGCUGACAUCAGCAGAAGAGCUUUAAAACUCAAAUAUCACUGACAAAUGAGAAAAUCACAGGUCACAGGCAAUGGCGAGAAUCAUGCCAGCCAGACACUGGUGGUCUCCAGGCUCUUCUGUUUUGAUGUACAAAACUUUCAGCACUGUUCAAAUCUGUGACCCUGAGUCAUUAAGAAAAUGUUUAAUUCAGUUUAAAAAUCAAUGACCAACUAUAUUUCUUUAAAAAGGGUUUAAAAAUUAAACUAUAUCAAGAAGAAAUUCAGUAAAUAUUCAUCAGAAAUUCUGAAAGGGAAGGGAUUUUCUGAACACAAAAACAACAGAGGAUACUUUUAAGGAGAGAAUUAUAUUUUGUGUAAAUAGACAUUAAGACUGAUAUAUUGAAACCACAGGCGGUGAAUACUUGUAAUCUCAGCACUCCGGGAGAGCUGAAGUAGGAUGAUCAGAAGUUCAAGCCCACCCCAGGCAAUGUUGCGACCUAGUAAGACCCUGCCUCAAAAUAAAAAAUAAAAAAGCAGGGAAUGUAAAGUUUAAUCAUCACUACUGCAAAAAGGAAAGAAAAAUUAUAAAAUCAUUUGAACACAUAAAUAGCAAGUUCUAAAAAUUGUCACAAAUAAGAAAUUCAGUAACAAUAAUAGGCUUCCUACAGAUCAGUGAAUAAACUCUUAAAGCUGUGAUAGAAAAUGGAAAUAUUAUAUGUAAACAAUCUAUAGGAGAAAAAACACAGGUGACAAAUUACUACAUAUAAAUGUUUAAAUUCAAUGAUAAAAAGUGAAAUAAUUACAAGAUGGUGGUUUUAACAUCAAAUUAACACACAUUUUUAAAAAGUGAUGAUAUUUUAUUUUGGUGAGAAUAUGGUAAAAUACCCUUUCAUAAGCUCAUGAAAAUAUAUAUUAUAUUUUAUAUAUUUAUGAUACCAGUAUUCUGAAAGGCAACUUGAUAUAUUUCAAGAUCUCACAAAUCUUUAUAUGCUUUGACACAUUGAUUCCACUUAUAGAUAUCUACUUAAAAGAAGUAGAAAAGUGACAAAGAUUUCUGCAAAAGAAAAUUCAUACUUAUUUAUAGCAAAAGCAACUAAUUCAUCUUAUAAAUGUAAUGGUUAAAUGAAGUAUGACACAUUUAUAUUAUAGGCCAUAAUAAGCCAUUAAAAUAAGCUUUGAAGAAUGUUUGAUGCUAUAUAAUCUAUUAAGUAAAUUACAGCAUUAUAUUAUAUUUCAGCACAAAUUUUUGCAGAAUCACUUGGAAGUCAAUCACUUCAAAUAUUAACAGAUUUAUGGGUUUGCUGUGUUUAGUUUUUUCUAACAUUUUCAGUCUUAGACAAAGAAGCAUGAACAUACUUUUAGACUCAGAAAUGUACUUUUUAAUUUUUAAUAAAAUAGAGAAAUGUUACAGAAAAUUUUCAGGUAAAGUGGUUCAACUGUGUUGUUUCUGAAAGCUUCAGUGAUGGAGAUAGUCCAUCUACAUGAAGUCUUAUCUCCCAAACAAGUGGAUAAGACAGUGCCAAAUUUGGAAAUACUGGCUUCCUUUAAUAAAAGGUAAAUCUUUAGGCUCAUACAAUUUAACUAAAUGUUUGGUUUAUGACAGUGUUUUCCAAAGAGUGUUUCAGAAGAGUUCUUUAGCUGCAUAGCGAAAAAAAAUUCUUACAGGUCAAAUAAAAGCAGGAACAACUGUUUCUCUAUUCAUUUCCUGGAGUUACAAUUCAAAUUAGCAUUUUCUAGCCUCUGAAAAGCCCUGCAAUAGUGAAAGCUACUUUGUUUUUUAAGCCAGGAUUUCCCAAAGUCGUACACUUCAGAAUUCUAUUGGGUAACUGCCAACAUCAUCCCCUACGCCUGUUUCCUAGAUAUGUCGUGCUGUGGAAAGCCAUAGGAUGAAGCAAAACUCUGCUCGCUGAUUUUGGUUCACAACUUUGUAGACCAUGAAGCUAGAAUAUGUGAGCCUGGUUUCAGCAAAUUCUAGCCUAGGGGAUGGUAAAGUCAUGCAGGACAAGCUUGAGGACUUGUAUGGUGGUGACACACCUGGGAAGAGCUCAAGUUCUUUUUCAAGUUAUCAGGUUCCUUUCUCCCACAGUCCACUGGCCUUAUCCAGGUAGCACCUCCUGGUCUCAAGUGCCCUAGGAUGUGACGACUUGGCUAUUCAAGUAAACUGCACCCAAUAAGGAUGGGGCUUUCUAAGAUUUUCACAAGAGGCUGCUUCUUCAACAUCUUGCUCCAGACUGGAGAAGGAUGUGCAGUCCCUUAGUCACACCUGUUAAAUCUGGGAGCACAUAAAGGCAGAGUUCAUUGCUUGAAAGUAAACUUUGCAUUAGAAGAUACUGCACACCCUCAAGUAUCUCAAGUAUCCCGAGAAUAAUGCAGGUGAAUUUUUGCUUAACAGGAUGAGUUACUCAUGAGUGUCUUCUCUUUGUGUGGUUUUUUUUGUCUUUUUUUUUUUUUUUUGUCCUCUCUAUCUAAGGUUCUUUUGGUCAGUUAGAACUCUUUUGGGUUUAUCUUAAGUUCAGGAUCCUGGAUCGUGUUGGGAACUGAAGGAGACAUGCUAUGAUUUUUAGGUUCACCCAAGUGAAACUACAUCUGGCCUAUGCUGACAUUCUCAGUGAGAAUCUUUUAAGUGUACACCCAGAGCCUCUGCUUGUCCUCUCUCGUCUACUACCCUCUUUCUUAGGAAAAAGUAGAAAUGGGAAGGACAAGGGAAAGAAUCUAGUAAGAAAAGUGUAUCAUUCUACUUAGAUUUACAAAUUACCCAAUGGGUAAUCUCAUCCAGUGUUUUUAGAUAUCUAAGUUUAAAGAACAAAGAGGUGUGUAAGGGGCCUCCAGAUACAUAUUUCUCAUUUGCUCUGCAGAACCUUCUACUCUUUUUUAUAUCGAGGGUGCAGGUAAGAUGGUGUUUGCAAACUUUUUCUGCUGGUGAAAGAAAUAUUUGGAAAGCAGCGGAUCUAGUCCAACACUGUGCAGGCCUUUUUCCGCAAUAGUCAUGCAGCUUUUUCUCAGAUCCUUCUAGUGAUAAGAUGCUCAUUACCAGCCCAUAUUUGGUUGUGUGCUGCAUGGAAAUCUGCUUCCUUGGGUCCUCUGCCCAUUUGUCCCAGUUCUGCUUUCUGGGAGCAAACAAAAAUAGCUCAAAUCAAUCUCCAAUUUUUAGCUCCACCAUGGCAGGGACUUUGUUAGCGUAGUUCUUUAAUGUAUCUCUGGGGCAAUUCCUGUCACAUGGUAGGAGCUUAAUAAAUAUCCAUUGAAUAACUGAAUAAAAAAUGGAUGAUGACUUUCAUGUGUCCAUUGUAAAAUUACCAUGUAACUUGAGCCUUCAAAUUUUGCACAUCUGAAGACUCAUCAGGCAACUUUUUCAUUCUUCUACAACUUGGGACCUCUCUGUCAAGGGAGUCCUGGUGGAGUAGAAGUAUACUGAGGAUUUUGGGGUGUGGGCCAAGAGCCUUUGUAGUUUUACUCUGCCUAGUACUUCCAAAAAAUGCUUCUAAAUAAGCAAUAUACAAAACAGCCUGAUAAUCACAAUGAACUCUGCCAGUCUUUCACCAAAGACAGAGCUACAACCCAGGCGUGAGGGGUUGUGUUCAUGCCUUGGCAUCUGCAGUGAUUGUCAAUGUAACAGAACUGGACAGGCACUAGGAAGACCCACUGGCUUCUGUGAUAAGGUAGAAACUUCACCAUUAGAGUCAUUCUCUUGGGUAAAGUAUGAAUACUGGUCACGCUGAGUCUCUAAUACCUCAGCGGGAAUAUGCUGCCUGCUUGUUUUCUUUAAGGGCAAGAGAUUCUAAGAAUGCUGGAUUAUGGGACAAACCAUGUCUUAGCAACAGAAGAGGCAGAGUCAAGUGGGCUAGAGGGCUGGCUACAUCAUGCCUAAGUGGAUAAAUAUCCAGGAUCUCCAAAACCAUUCCGCUUUGAAAAAGGCCAUCUAGGGAGGAGGAGAUGAGUCUGGCUCUACAUAAACUCUGAAAGGGUGAGUUCUCCACCACUGCUAUUGUGAAUCUUCCACAUGAGUGAGAUGUAAUAGGAACUGUGUCAAAUACUUUGGAAGGUAGGUGCUACACGUACCUAAAUGACAGUGGAGUGCUGGGGAAGGUGUCCCUGCUGGCCUGGAGCCAUCUUCUCACCACAGAAGGGAGAAACCAAUCCCUGACAAGCAAGCGGCUGAUCCUUGACCAUGUGAUGAAGUGUUGCUUCCUGGCCAGGAUGUUUAUAGUUCUUAAGAAGUUCUUUCCCAAUCAGAGUGAGUGACUGCUUUAGAAAAUGAAGCCUGUGUUUUCUUCCUCUGUGUAUGCUCCCUGCUUCCCUUCACUUCCCUCAAAUGACACAGCCCACCCUAGGGUGAGUGUAGCAGUGUCCCAUGGGGGAGGCAGAGAGGGGGCCAUUGGAGAAAUGCAGUUUAUUUGUCCUUCCUUUUUGGAUAUAGUGUUGCAGGGAGUUCUUCCACUGUCCUCCCAGCCAAAUGCUGCUUUUAUUUUUUUAACCUUUCCUUCUAGAUAAUGCAACUAAGACCGUUAUCCUUGUGGGGGUGUGUUUACUAUUCUGAGAUCACAUUAACAUUACUCAUUUAACAUCUGCAGUGUUUUGAAACUGAAAUGUCUUACCAUAUCCCAGAGUGGGAUUUUUGUCUCUGACUGAUGCUUUGAUUGAUAAAGACAGUCCAAGACCAUGACCUUUAAGAUGCACAAUCUGGGGGAGUUUGGGGUCUGGGCAAAAGGGGGCAAAAGCACCCCCGAUCAGCAGGGUCACCAUUAACUACAGCUCAGCAAAUGAUACUGCAUGUUUUAUCAUCGGCUGGGUGCUUUUUCAUAAGCACAAAGCUCGAGAAGCUGUUAGACUGAGCAACUGAGACUAAAACUAAAGCCAGUGGGCUCUUGGUCCCAGCCGAUUUGAGGCACUGGGUGCUCUGUUCCCUGCCUGCUAUAGGCAGGACCUGUGCACAGACAAGGUUGAGGGUAAGGACAGAGAGGUGACCAUCUUCAACCCUCAAGAGUUCUCAGUCUAGCAGAGACAGACAUGUAAAUAGUGUGGUAGAUACCUUGCCAAGAUAUACUGUGGUGUAUUAGAAAAAGUAGUCACUCUCUAAGAAGGGGUGGAAGAGUAGGGGUUGGAGGAAGGUAGGAAGAUGAAAGAGAAUGCUCAGACUGGGCCUGGCAAAAUACUGCAUACUGUCUAGGCUGGAAUGAAAUGCAAAAGGAAAUGAACUUUUUUUGGCUCUGACAAUAUACAAAGAGGGAAAGGGGACAAGUAGAGAUGCAGUACAGAUCGCAGAGCUGCUUGAGGGCCUGCAGAGAGUUUCUGUUCUACCAGGCAGGCAAGGGGAGUUAUUGCACAGAUUUUAAGUAAGACAGUGGGUUCUUAGCAGACUUUCAUUUCAGAAAAGUCACUUGGCUCCCUGUAGAGAGAAUAUGUCUAAGGGUGAUGAGACAGAAGGCUACAUAAGUAGUUGGGUAUCUGUUAAAAUAAUUCAAGAAAGGUCUGAGGGUUACAACCAAGCUAGAGGCAGUGUGGAAGGAUGAGAAAAGUAGUGAAUGCCUGUGACUUGGUGGACACGGAGUAGAGUGAGGACACUGAGAGGUCAUGGAACAUGGUACGCCUAACGAUGCCACCUGGGAUUCUGGUUUGAGUCUCUCUAGAUGAUACAGAAAAAAGGGGAUAGAUACCUGAAAUUGGGGAUAGUACAAAAUCCUAUAGUUGAUAUGAUUUCUUCUUAUAUAGACACACAAAUUUAAUGUCUUUUCAGCUUAUUAAGCUCUUCCAUUCGCCAUAGCCAUAAUAUUUGCAGUGUGAGGUGAAACACAGGACUAGCACAAAUUUCUUUUUCUUUCUUCACCAUUUCACAGAUAGCUUUGUUCUUACCUUGGAACUUAGCAACCUUAGUGUAGAAAUUUUUUUCUACUAAAUUGAGAAGUUUCAACUUUUUCACUUAAGGAAGCAUUUUAGGUGUUCUUUUUGGCAUAUUUGAAUUACCAGUCUCACUAUACCUGCACUUGGACACAUUAUUAAGCCAGAUAAAUGUUACUUGAACACAGCCACUGAGAUACGGCACUAUCUAGUCUGAUACCCAAGACACCUACUAAGUGUCUAACAAACAGGUAGCAUAUGUGGCAUGGACCCACUGGACAAAGGGCUAAGUCACAUUUUGGAGGGACAGAGGUAGAAUAAAAGAUUGCACUGUAUAACUCAGAAUGGUAUGAAAUUUAAAAUGUAUGAAUUAUUGUUUCUAUAAUUUUUGUAUGUAACAUUUUCAGACUGCAGUUGACUGUGGGUAACCCCGAAAGCAAAGCUGCAGAUGGGGGGGUGGAUUAUUGUAUGCAGUUGGUUAUGUGAUUUGACACUCAAAAGAUAAGCCAAGGAUGAGGAGAAACAUAUGAGAGUUGCUUCUAUGUAGGUGGUAGUUAAAUCCAUGACAGAAGAUGGCCGUGCCCUAUAAGAAGGACAGAAGGCUAACCAUAAGUUUUUUUUUUAACUGAUCAUUUUUAAAAGCAGCUAAAAGAGAGACCACAAGGGAGCCCGAGAAGGAGGAGGCAGGGAAGAGCAUCUCUAAGAAGAAGAGACUGGACUAUAGAUAGCAUCAUUUGCCUCAGGGAGACCCAGGAGGCAGCACUUGAAGGAAAGGCAAUCUGGGUCUUGACUGAGACCCUCUAGGUUGAGGUGGUGGGCAUGGAGGUCACUUUAGAGCCAGUGGAAAGCACAAGAGUGGGGAUUGGAGAGGGUGCAUUCAGAAGGCUACCCUAAGGAGCCAAGGAAAAAGUGUCACCAGAAUAUUCAGGACAACUGAUUUUGUCAGAAAGUCUUUUUACAACAGGAAAAAGAGAUUAGCUUGAUAGAACAAAAAGGUGGUUUUGUGUGUGUGUGUGUGUUUUGUUUUUACCAGUACCAGUGAUCAAACUCGCAACUGCCUGCUUGCAAGGCAGGUGCUUAUGCCGCUGAGCUAAAUCCCCAGCCCUAAAAAGGUGGGUUUUUAAAACUACUGAGAACCUUGGAUUGUGCCCUAGGCUCUGGGUAUGGUGUUUUUCAAUUACUUGUUAUUUAAUCUUCUCCAUAGUGGAGCUGCCAUUCUCCUCUCCCUGUCCAGAUUCCGUCUCUUUUGUACCUGAACUCACACCUUGAAGGCAUUUGAGGUCUAGCUACACUUUUAGAAAGCCUUUUUGAAAGGUGUUGAAAGAUCAAGACUAACACUAAUAAAUAAUAAAUAUUAGAUAGUAAUAAGUAAAGUUAUUAAAAACUGCUAAAUAUUUGAAGAGGGCCUUAAACAACAGUGUUGCCAAAAUAGAAAUGGUGUAGACUCAUAGUCAUUUUAAAGUGAGCAAACCCAGAGACCCACAGUAACCAGAGUGUGCCUUGGGUGCCAGGUGCCCGUUGUAUACCGUUGACUUGUCAAGGUGUCAUUUUUAACAGCACAUCUUUAAUCCAGCCUCUUCUACCCCUAUGAUUGCAGAGUCAUAGUCACUGGUUUCAAAGCACUAACAGCACAGAUGAGUGAAAGUUCACAAUGCAGAUGUGACGGUCACAGCGGAGACACACCUUCCAGUGAGCUCGGGAGGUGGAAUGGAAGAAGUAAUGGGUGGAACACUUGUCAGGGUUUCCAGCUUCUCUAACUUGGAAGGAAUCAUUAGAUGAAUAAAUAGCAUACUCCCACUCACACCAGCAGAAGCCAGAAUGACCCAGUAAGUAGAUUGGAAGUAGUAACAGAAAUUUUAAGUGUUUCCGCAUUGAGUUUGUAACAGGGCUCAGGAUUGGAUGGGGCCCUAGACAAUUUGUGAAGCAAGUCAAACUUGGCUCCUCCUAGUUCUUCCAGUAUUUUUCUUCCUUCCUAGAAAACAGCUUCUGUAUUAGAAGAUCAGAGUAAGUGCCAGGCACAGCUAAGCCUGCUAAAGAUAUGUACUCAUUUGUAUUUUGCAGCCACCUUAUGGAAUAUAUACCACGAUUAUCUUCCUUUUACAGAAGAAACUGAAGUUUAGAGGAUUAGGUGACUUGUUAAAGACAUAUGUACUAAAUGGUGGCAAAGUCAGGAUUUUUAUCCAGCUGUCUGACUCUUCAUCUGUGCCUUUAAUCACUUAGCAAUGAGAUAUAGCCUUUAGGUUUUGUUGCUGGUCCUUCCAAAGAUUUUUAGGACUGGACAAUACUUUAGAAAUCUAAUAUAGCACAAGGCACAUCUCCUGCUUUGAUACAUAUGUCAGACAUAUUCUUCAAAACAUAUUAGUCCAUUUUAUGUUGCUGUAAUAUAAUAAUCAGAUACUGGGUACUUCAUCCAAAAACAAGGUUUAUUAAAAUUUGGAAUUUUGGAGGUUGAAAUUUCAAGAUCAAGUGGCCCCAUUUAUUCGGAUUUUGGUUAAGGCUGCCCUGGCUCUAUGACAACUUUCUGGUAGAGAACCAGAAAAAGAAGCAGCUCUCUACAGAAAAAGACAAACAUAUGGGUAGUCAUGCUUUAUAACAGCCUGCUCUCUUAAGAACUAUCCUGCUCUGCAAAACCAGUAUUGGUACCUUGCAAAGUCAGUGGCAUCAUGAUUUAAUUGCUUUUCACUAGACCUUUAAAGGUACCACCACUACACUAGAGCCCAAAUUCCACCAUAUGAGCCUCUGGGGAGCACACUCAAACUAUAUCCAAACCGUAGCAUAUAUGAAAAUCAAAAGUGUGGAUAUCAAGCAGUGUUGACUACUUGGUUGAGGGAUGGGAGGAUUUUCAGAGAUUUAAAAGAAUUAUAAAAAUACUUGCUAUCCUUUGCCUUUUGGAUACCAUAGAUGACAAUGCAAUCCUCAAAUUUAACUAUGCUCCUUUUCUUUGUAACUGAACACCCAAUCAACCUACCUUCCACUGAGCAUACAACUGAGGCUUAAGGCUUGCUAUUUUUAGUACACCUAAUGAUUUCUAUUUUUGUCUUAAUUUUAUUAAACUGAUGGGACCUCUCCAAUUACUUUUACUCAUAUCAGCAUUUUGUUUCUCUGUCUCCCACUCAUUUUUGAAAAUGCAAAAAAAUAUUCAGACAACGACUCGAAUCUCCCAUCACCAAAAUGAUGCUGCUGGUAAAACUGAGUGUCCAGUCAGUUUCACUAUGGAAAGCUCCCUGUGUAUUUUUGUCAGCUAAUGAACGAAUGUCUGAACUGAGUAUGUGAAAAACAAUUUAAUUAUAGGCAUAUAUAACGUAUCUGAGUUGUGGACUAUAAGCAGUUAAAUGUAUCAAAGUCAAGAUACAAAUAAAUCAGUUUGGCAAAUAUUUAAAGAGGGUUUACUCAGCCUUGUGGACACAAAGAAUGACCUACUACUCUCUGAUCCUUUUGAAAGGGUCAAUUCAUUUGCUCUAACUUUCUAGGUGGUCAUCGUAUAGCUCCUUCGCACUUAAAAUACAUUUAUGAAAAAUGUAUUAGGUGCUGGUAGCUGGUGCAGGAGAUGGACAGAGAAAUGUAGCAAUGAGUGGCAAAGAGCUUCCAGAGCAGUGAGGUGAAGACAGACACAUGGAUAAUUCCAUUCCAAUGCAGUGACUGCGGCUAUAAUAUAAACAGGAUGCUGAGGGAGCAUAUGGGAGGACUCCCGGACUAUCCAGAGAUUUGAAGAGGUUUCUUGGAAGAUUGUUGAAGCACUGUAGGAAUUAGCCACAAGCGGAGGAGAAAGGAUGUUUCAGAUACAGGGAGCAACAAGCAGAUGGCUUUGGGCUUGCAGUUCUGAAAAUAGAGCGAAGAGGAUGGAACAUGCUAAAUGCUGUAUGAAAUCUUCAGUUACUAUGAGAAGUGGAUCUUGCAUAAAUGCCUUCUCAUUCAUUCUUGAUUAAAGAAAUACUGAACUUACCUUGGGUUUCCUUCACAUACAACCAAAAUCACCUUACCCCUGGACUGGCAAACUGAAGAGCCUUUGAGUUGGUCUUGAUAAAAGGGAAACGUAGGUAAAUAUCACCAACUGAGAGGGCAGUUGAUCCCAGAGGUCAUAGAGCACAAGCACAAUUUCUAACGAGGCUUUAGAGACUGAAGAAGCUAAUUUCUCACAGACAUAGUCUUACCACAGGAGCAGGACUGUACCCACUCAGCAUUGGGACCAGCUUCCAUCUUUAAACACACACAUUCCCCUAGAAUACAAGAAGUAAAUUUAGAGUAAUCUUAUUAUGGCCUCCAGUGGUCUUUUACAUGAAAGGAAUAUUCGUAUUGGUCCUUUUCAAAAUGUAUAAGCUGUAGCUAAAAUUGCAUUAAAUCUAUCCUGCAUCCUGUCUGAUGUCGAUCCAGGACCUUCCAGUAAAGCCCCUCCUGUCACCUCUCCUGUCUCACUGUUCUCCACAUUUAGCAUUUCCGGCUUUCCACAGAACAGGCUCCAAAUGUAUCACUUCUGACCUUUUUUUAAAAACAUCCUUAUAGAGAAAUAAUUAUCAUACCACCCAGUUUACUUGAUUAAUGUGUAUAAUUCGCUGGCUUUUAAUAUAUUCAUGGAGUUGAACAUCUAUCAUCACAAUUUCAUUAUCUCCUCAAAACUCCAUCCCUCUGGGCUGAGGAUUUAGCUCAGUGGCACAAGCACCUGCCUGACAAGUAUGAGUUUGAUCCCUGGUACCAAAACAAAACAAAACAAAAACCAAAAACAACUCUAUCCCUCUUAUCCAGCACCCUCCAAUCUCUCAUGUCCCCUGGCCUUAGUAAUUACUAAUUUAUAGAUUUGCUUAUUCUGGACAUUUUAUCAAAAUGGAAUCAUACAAUAUGAAGUCUUUUGUGACUAGCUCUUUUCACUAUCUGCUUUUUGCUUAAUGAUCUAUCACUUGCUUAUUUGAUUUUAUCCUUGGACACCAAAUCUUGGUUUCAUGUACUCCGUAUCUCUGCCUCUAAACACCUGAAUAGUUACCUAGUUAGCCAGUCAUCAGAGCGCACAAACUGUACAGGUACAAGCAGAUAAGUAGGACAAAACAGGGCAUAUAAGACAGAUUAGACAGGUCUCGCUAGGCUUCUUCACUCUCUCUCUCUAGUUGACUUUCUGACACUUGCAAAGGCAUAGAUGAGGUGAGGUUAGAAAGCUGAAGCAAUCGUUCUUUGAAAUAUGUGACUUUAAGGGGAAUGACAUUUUCCUCCUGAAUUCCAGCAGAUAUUUCUACUUCACUGGCAUUUCUUUGGCCCAGGCUGGUGAGAAUCAGACAAGGCUGGCCGUUCUAGUGAGCUGCAUGGUCAGAUCAGGAAGUGUUUCUGGCCUGUGAUCAGAGACGUAAGGGAAGAGCAGAAAGAUGUAGCUCCACCAUCCAAUGUAGAGGGAGAGUUCAAGGAUUGCAUGUGAUUCUGGAUUGCCAAAAGAGAAAUGCAGCCCUUACAGAGUUUAUGUCACACAUCACAGCAGUUUACUGGUGUGAACUCACUGCACUGUGUUUUCUUGGGGAUCAUUUCAAUCAGACCCAUGAAUCCUCUUUACACAUACAUCUUCAAAAACCGGAAUGUAUUUUAUUGUCAUAAGGCAGAAGUUGCUUUUCUAACUACAGGUAGGAGGAAGAACAAUGUUCUUUUAAUGUCACAUUAGAGUAUUUCAUUAAAAGCAAGUGUAGACCACACCAGACACCAAAUGGUGGCAUAGAAUACCUUGACUUCUUUCAACCUCUUUCCCACUUCAGUUUGGUCAGGAAAUACACAAUGGACUUUAUGAUGGGACUGUGAGUUCAAACACCCCCAGAGUUCAGCUUGGGCAGAGAAGGAAUCAGGAGGAGGAACUGUUCAUCAGUACACAUCUUCACCCACGCGUCUAUAAUUACCAACAACGGUUGCAGCGCAACUCGAAAAACAUAAACACUCUGAGCUGGCUCAAACCCAGGGCUCUAUUUAUAGCCUCUAUGACCACUCAUAGCCUUAACACCCUCCUCGAAACAGACCCCAGAUUGGGAGCAGGGGCCAGGGACGUUCUCAGUUGUGACAUGGAGCAUAUGACUCUACCUCUUCUAUCUAGUAGUUCCAUCUAGUAGUUCCUCAUUUCACUAUAGUGUAGGCAUGAAAGAGCAUUAAAAGCAUCCAGCCAUUCUGACAGAGGUGCAUCUCAAAAUAAACAUUUUCCUGGGCAAGCCAGACAGGAACAUAGAGCCAGAGGACUUCCAACUCAGACUUAGAAAUUAUAGGGUUUAAUUGGGAGGCGUGACAGUGGCACAUCAUCAUUGCUUGUAUGCUUCACUUGAACUGUGUUUGUUCAGGCAAGACAGGAAGUGGUCACGAGGAAGUAUGACACAGUGGAAAAAGCAGGGGCUGGGGAGGCAGACAGUGCCACGUUCAGCUGGGUAAUCUUGAACACGUUUCUUGACCUCUUUGAACCUCGGUUUUCUCUUCUGUAAAAUGGGAAUACUAAAAAUACUCCUCUCGUAGGGGGCUUUUAGAAUAAUAGAUAGCAUACAGAUACAGAUGGGCUUUUACAUUAUUGCCAUUUUUAUUGUGGUCUGGGGAUUAAACCUGGAGCCAUCACAGUGAAUUACACUGUUAUACUUUGUUUCUAGAUGUCCUCUCAAAGCCUCAUGUGGUCAGUUUUUUCAGAGGUGCUUGAAUUUAGAGUAUAUGAUUGAUUCAUGGUUCAAUGCUAGGAUUAAGGGUGUUGGAAUUAAGGCUGGAUCAAUCCAUUGAUUGGACUGACGCUGCCCAAUCUCUGUAGACUGUAUACAACAUAAAGGUUUGAAAGAGGCUGGUCUUGCUCUUCCCUGUUGCUUUUGCUGUCUUCCACUCCUGUGAACUGUUGAUCCUCUGCCAUGUGCCACCCUGCCUUGGAGCCAGGUGAUUAUGGACUGAAAUCUCCACAAACUGUGAGCUAAACCAACCUUUCCUCCUUUAACUUUGGGUGUUGAGUAUUUUGUCUCAACAAUGAGAAAAAAGUAAUUAAGACAUAUACCCUCAGCUUUUUUUUUUUUUGAAAUAAGGUCUCUCUAAAUUACUAAAUUUCACAGGCUGAACUUGAAUUUGAAAUUCUCCUGCUUCAGUCUCCCAGAGUGUGGAGUUUACAGGUUUGUGCUGCUGAACCUGGCUACAGUAUUGCUGUUAAUAAUGCAUUGCUAUAAACAGGAUUUUUGAAAGAUUUGACCAAUGUAACUCAUCGUAGAUAAAUUUUAUCACAUCUUUGAGGUAGUCCUUGUUAUUGAAAAACUCUAAACAAUUGAAAAAUAUUCCUAGAGAUUUUUUUAUUUAGUUGAUGUUACAUAUUUCAGAAAGUUUACAAUAGAUUAGCUUGCUCCAUAAUUCUGUAUUUUUAAUAUGGAAAGGUAAUUAUUUAUGUAUCAUAGUUGUAAAUUCUGUUUCUUGCAUACUUUAAUAAGGAGCAGCCCAGACAGGAAAACAAACUCCUCCCUCUAUGUGAUGAUUCUUUCAAACUUCAGAAGAUUGAGAUCAGGGUUUUUCCACUCUUCUUCCUAGGGGAUCAUUUUUUACUCUCUCUCCCCAGCCACAGAAAAACUCUUGAUGUCCUAGCCAGUUGAAUUCUUUUUAACUUCUUUUUUAUUUUGAAUAUAGCUAGUAGUUCCUCAUCUUUCUUUUUCUUUGGAGCUGCCUUUGAUUCUCCAAACAGGAACUGAAUCCAAGUGUGUAAACUACCUGUAACUUCAUUUUUCCCUCUGUCCCUCAGUGACUUUGAAACUACUUCCUUUGCCUAAGAGAAUCUUGAUGCAUGUUUCAGGAAUAAAGAUCUCAUUUUGCUUUAUAUUUAUUCAAGAUAAAAAUAGUUUGGAGGUAAAUCUACAGUAGACGAAUCAUAUAGAACAACCCAAAGGAAGUACUAUCUAGCUCUGGCUUCCUGUUUGAGGACAGAUGAUCAUCCUUGUGUACUGAAAACAUCAUACACAUUUUCAUAUGGAUAUACAUGAAACUUCUGGAUAUGAAGUCUUAUGGUACAAUCACUACACUGGGACCAAAUUGACAUUUACUUGAUUGUUCUUUUUCCAAGUUGACCCUGUAAAUGAUAAUGAUAAUAAUUAUAACAACAUCAAUAGCAACAACACUCAUAACUUCCUUGUUACUUCUUAGGCACCAUGUUAAAGUGUAUGUUUUCAAUAUAAAAAUUCUGUAAUGUGUUGUUAUACUACUUACAGAUAAGAAAAAUCAAAGCCUUGAGAAUUGAAGCAAUCUUGCUUAGGGUCCCUGGGUAAGUAACUGGCUAAUAUGAGAUCCGAGUUCUAAUUGUCUAAACCCAAAGUCUAAGCAGCUGGAUUCUGAUCAGCUGCUGUUCAGCUAUUUGAAGCAAGGAUGAUUCAGACAGGAAAAGCAGGAGGAAUGCCAUAGGCGUGAACCCCAAAACACUUGUCAGUACCUUGCCCAGCUGGAACCAAGGCAAAGGCACCAAGGUUGGAGGUUGGUAUGUCAUCAGAGAGUCUCUUAUGCAAAUAUGAGAGACACAGCUCAGAGAACAAGUCUAGAGAGAACUCAGUGAUAAAAGGACAAAAUGAAAAGAUUAAUCCAUUUUCCCACAGCACAGAGUUGCACACACCUAUGACAAAGCUUCAGUGUCAUCUUGUACACCUAGAGACAUCCAUUUGCAGACCAUAGAGAGGUCACUGAAAUUCUGUCUUACUUGUCUUUAAAGCCCUGUUCACCAGCUUACACUGGACCACAGCAUGUAUCUGAUGUACUGUGAUGUAUGUGCCUUUGUACAUUAGGUUCAAAACAAUAUUUUGUGAAUUAAAUUAUAUUUAAGAUGAGCUUGGGUCCAUAAUAACAUUAGUUUAAAAAUGUACAAUGUUAUAUAAAAAUAUAAUAAGUCGUAGUUAAUUAUUUUGUAAUAUGAAUACUGAAAAUUAAUUUUCAAUCCUUUUUUAAUUUUCUGAGACAUCAAGUAUUUUCUGUUCAUCUCCAAUAGAUUUUAGUAUCUAUCUUGAACAUACUAUAAUCAUAUACAGGAAGGACAGACAUCCCUAUGAUAAUAAUUGAUAUUUUUAUGCCUUUCCUAUUUUUAUUCUCUUUCACAUACAUUCUUAUAUCUCAUGUGAAUUAAGCAGUUCAAACUAAUACAACUGGUGUAUUUCACAGAUUAAGAAAUUGACCCUGGUUACCACUUUUUUGAUAAAGGAAUAAAACUGAUGCUUAGAAAAAAAUAGCUUCAUCAAAGUCACACAGCUAAGAAAUGGUCAAGUCAGAUACAUUUUAUUCAAGCUAGCAUUAUGAAAUCAGGAUUUUAAUGCACAUUUAAAAAAUCUAGCAUAUCAUGAAACUUUCAGAAGCUCUAAACACUGGAUGAUUUUUGAGCUAUUUUGAGGGGAAUGAUAAUUGACAUUUAAAGAUAUCAUGUCUCUUAGCAACUAAACGAGUUUCAUGGAGUUCAUUUUAUCUUCAACAAGAUUCACACCCUGAACCAGGCUGACAUUAAACUGUUGCCCUCCCUAAAUUCUCAGGGGCCAUCGUGCGACAUAGCAUAUUUUUCUGUUCCUGAAGGGAAAGGGAGAGAGAGAAAAAAAGAGAUAAGUGACUAAUGUUCGUGUCAUCUACUAGAAAUGUAUAAAAAAUCCUUGGCCUUUCCUUGACCCUGAGCUGACCAGAGCAUACUCAAGCCGCUAGAGAGGCAGAAGCAGACCCUUGUUCACAAUCCAAAGGGAGUGGUAAUACGAAUAUCAGACAUUUUCUCCGAAACCUUCUCACAGCCAGACGUCGUGCUAUUCUAGAUGAUCUGUUCUUUCUGUGUAACUAGAAAAAAGCACUGCUUUCAGUAACAGAAGUUUGGAUAUUUAGUCAUGAAUUUUGUUUUCCCAUUUCCUGAUGUAUCUACUUCAUAUUCAUUUGCAUAUUUAUUCACUUAUCUUUGUAUAAAUAUAAUAAGCAUAAAGCCUUUUUCCUAAAAAAACCCAAAACACUACAACUGCAAUCUCACCAUUCUAACUCAUCAGCCGUUUCCAGUUUUGGAGUUUUCAGCAGGUGCAAGUGUGUACACAGAUGCUUGUGUAGAAGCGAGGUGGUGAUCUGGUGGUGUGUUCUCUUAGCAUAGGGUAUAAACAAUCCUCAUGCUCUGAACACAUUUUCUAAUACCAUUUAACUGGUCCUUAAAAGGCAUAAAUGAUGGGGAGCAAUUUUAGCUUGUACUUGAAUUGAGGUUAAAGUCACAUGGACAGGAACAUCAAGGAAAAUAAAAGAUCUUACAAGGUGAAAUCAUUCCCUUCCCUAGAAAAGGUAGCUUUGCUGCUCUCUCACUAACAGGUAAUAGUACUGGGAAAAGGGUCAUUCACUCACACAGGCCUCUGAUAAAAGCACACUCAACUCACAAGUCCUCCUUUGUAUCAGGCACAGUGCCAGGCACAGAAAAAUACCAGCCUGGGAGGAUAUGUUUUCUUGUUCUUGAGAAAUUCAGAAUUGAAGGUGAGGACAGAUGUUGACAGUAACGAUUUGAAUGAAUGGAAAGUAGAGACCUAUAGGGACUCUAUGGGUCUUGCAAGAAGGAAACAGUGACCCCAGGGAAUUCAGGAAGUCUCCCUAACAAGGGGGUGUUUGGGGGAGUUCAUUUGAAUGUCACUGUGUUUGCUGUUCUAGAAAUAUUUCCCUAUUCUUUCCAUUUGCUGUCUGUUCUAUCUCCAGAUUGUCCUCUACCCAACUUUGCUGUCCAUUGGAAAAAUAAUAUCCUUUUUCUCUCUUGAGGAAAGAUGGCUUCACCUUGCAGACUCUUGCAAAAAAUUAGUCUGAAUAUUAUUACAAUCUGCCUAAACGUCUGUAUUUCCCCAACUUCUACUCUCUUUGAGAGUCUAUUAAGGUAUUAUUCUUGUUAAGCCUUUCCCUUAGGUUCCUUUCUCCUAUAAACUGCAUAUAAAGCAAGCAAAGACACAGAAAAUGUCAACAUAAUGCAUAAGGAAACUAAGUGGCAAUGUCUCUAAGUUGAAUGUAAAAUUAGUGUGGAUUAGUAUAAAAUGAUUGUGCUCCCAAAGCUGAAAUUACUUGCUCUUGUCGUUAGAGGCUUGUACCUCCAGAGCUUAGAGAAGAGGAACUUUUAUAGAGCUUUUCUCUGACUUGUGCUCUGGAGGGAUGUGACGCUGCAGAUCUGAAUCUACAACCUCCCACCUGGGCACACUUAUCUUGAAGGCUCCCAGGAGAUCCCUUACCUUUCUGCAGAGCACAGCAGCCGAGGCAGCUGAGGCAGAAUUGUUUGUACUGGUUCCUGGCUUUCCCUCUAGUCACAAUCAGACUUAUCUCCCUAUUCCCUUGCAUUUUAAGGACCCAUUUGAAUCCAGACCCAUGUGCUACCUAGGAUUCCUAGAAUACCUUCCAUCGGCAGAUAAAUUUUGUGUUCAUUAAUUUAUUUGAGAUUCUAUUUUUUUCUUUUGAGUAGUGAAUACAAGUGUAACAGUGCAUAAUAAAAUGGAAUUUCAACAGAUGUUAAAUGGUGCAGAAUGACAAGAAGAGAGAAAUAAUACUGUAAGAUGGACACAAAUAUCUUGAUGUGAAAGACAAAACCAGGACCCUGAGGCAAAGGGAGAAAUCACACUCUCUGAAGAGCACCAGUUCAUGCACUAGGAAAACAGAACCCACAGAGAAUGUUUGAAACAGAAUUUAAUGCAGGGACCUGGCUGUGCAGGUGACAGAGGUGCAAUAAAGCUAACGGGGACCAGGAAGCAACUCAAGAUUACCCAAGCUGCACGACUACCAGGCUGCAAAAGAAGAGGAGGAGAAGGUACGAUAGCUUGAGUCUGGGGCCACUCUCCUGGCGGAAUCUGGAAGCCCACUGGUCUGUGUUGUUGGAACUGGACCUGCAGCCUGGCACAGUGCUGAGAUCAUGUCUCCAGCACAAUACUGGGAAUGUGAAUACAUGGCACCCAGAGGAAGAAACUGACCAUAGAUGCUACUUAAAUGAAUGAAAUGUUAAGAAGCUCUCCCUCCCUCAAGGCCAACUUUUGGGGUUUUUUUGGGGGGGGUUUAUGCUGUUUUUUUUUCUUUUUCCAAGAUCUUCCAGAAAAAGCAGAACUUUUGCCCAGACAGGGCAAGUGUGUCACAAAGUUCUGCUUUCACUGUGUGUUAAGUGGAAAUGAUUAAGCAAGCACACAGUAAGAGAUUCCUCUCUGCAUUUCCUCCGUGAUGGGGGCAGUCUUGCCAUGAACCUCUGCUCACUCAGACUGACAGUGCAAACCAUGAUGAUUUGCACUGAUAACCCCAGCGUGCCUCACUUAUCUAUCAUCAUGGCUUAUCCACCCAGAAUGUUGCUGAGGGGGCCUCUUCCUGAAUGCAUACAUAGGUUGGAAGGUACUGGAGUGUGUGUGUGUGUGUGUGUGUGUGUGUGUGUGUGUGUGUGUGUUCAGAACUGGCUUCAAGGAGCUGAUGUUUGACAAAACUUGUUCUAGUUGCCUCUGGCUGAUUAUGAGUUACUGUCUUUGGGCUCUAAGAUUUGGAAUGUCUAUAAAACUUCUACCCUAUGUUAACUCUGACAACUGUCUUCACCACCACAAUCAUUCCCUGAGCACUUUGUCCUGGAAUAAGCAUUAUACAUGCCCAGAUGGAACCAGGAUUCCUGUGUGGUAUCAUUUACAGGUGUGCAGACUUUUCCAACUCUCCCUGAAGUAUGGUGGGAGAACCCAGCUGUCCAUCCAAUUGCUUCCUUUGGAAUUAUGAGAAAAUGUCAUUUAUUUUGUUUAGUUAAGCUUUAGACUGGGGGUUGUUGGAUUUGUCAGAUUCUCAAAUCUGGAUGCAUUUUUAGAAUCCCCUGGAUGCUUUCUAAAAAUACUAAUGUUUGGGCCUCUCCCCAGAUCAAUUAAAUAAAAAUCAUUAAGGACACAGUUGGAGAGCUGGUUUUGCUUUUUUUUUUUUUUUUUCUGUUUUACCUCUUUAGGUGAUUCUAAUGAAUAACCAAGACUAAAAACUACUACCUUGGAGGUCAAGUACGACCUGUCUAUUGGGCAAGUAAUGUACCUUCAGUUGCUUUAGCUGUAAUAGUGAUAUAAAAGCAGGAGUUCAGGAAUCAGAGAAACCAGGGGAUGGAGCUCCAAAUCCAUCAAUUACCAGUCAUGUGACCUUUCUCAGUCUCAUGCAGCAACCUUACUUCAAUGACUCAUGAGAAUUCAAUUACAAGAAUUAAAUGAGAUAGCUCAAGUAGAACAUGUAUACCUGCCAGAUGGUAAAUACUCAGUGCAAGCUACAAUUACGUAAUAUUGGUCUUGUCAAUGAGUUCUCGGGAAGAGCUGCUUACCCAAGACUGUGGUUGACUUGGAAUGAUUUGGCAUUGUGACAGUGCACUGUGGUUGUUAAAUCUUCAGAAAUGAAAAAUGAUACUGAAAUUAAGGGAAGAAAGGAAAAAAACCAAAAAAGAAUGGAUAUAGAAGACCCAAAUCUAAGAAGUAUUUUCUGGUAGGAGAAAAGGCAUGGAUUUCCUCAGCAGGAAUUGUCAGAAGCCAGCCUAAUAAACCAUCUGGUUUCUCUAGCAGGUAAGUGGGCUUCUGUGGAUUGUGAAGAUGCCCCUCACCGGCAUGAUUCCCUGGAGUUAGGUGAACUGAAGCUGAAGUCACCAGCUGGAAUGGACAGUGCUUCAGGCUUUGUGUCAGCUGCAAGGCAAGAAAGUUUUAGGGCUCAGGAAGGAAGACUGACCCACCAACUGAGUUCACCCUGGGGUGAGGCUCUGGACUUCCUGUGCAUGCCAGUGACUCCACCACUGGCAGCAUGCUAGUAAGACUCUGCCAGGCCAAAGCUAACCCUUUGCCCUGGCUCUCAGAGUCCUGGCGAUGUAAUAGUCAAGUCCAAUAAAGGAGUCCUCUGGGCCUGCCUACUUGGAAAAUGAAGCCCAUUUAAGUAACUCCAGAAGGAAGAAAAUAAAAAUUUUUUACAAGUUUGGACACAGGAAGGAGACACUCAGAGGUCUUGCCCGUAGUGUUUCUGUGGAUGACAUUCCAUUUCUUCCAGCACAGACUUUAUUUAGCCACUCUCAGAAGGCCAAGUGGCUUCCCCGGAGCCACUUCAUUCUCCUCACUGCAAGAUUGUGUUUUGUGGAAGAGUCUGGAGCUAGGAUUCUGUAAAGGCUCCCCAGGACAGCAGGGAAGGAUGGCUCAGUGCCUAGAUCCAGGGACUCCCUGUCUGGAAAAGCUACUCAGCAGCCUGUCAAACCUCAUCUCCCCACCCCCAUGACAGAAGAAAAAUUAAUACUGCUCAUAUGUGAGGGUGUGUUAUGGGGGGGGCAAGAAUAACAGAUCAGGGAUAGGACCCUUGUCUAGAUACCUGUUAAUUCAACAAUAUAAUCAAACUUAAGUUUGAACUUGACUGACUACAUUCAAUAAUCAUUUUGUACUCUGCCCCAGGGGAUAUAGAAAUGUUGUAAGGCAUAUGGGUGGGAUAUUCAGGAAUUCUUUAAAGAAGAUUCUAAAGCUGUCUAAAGCCCUAGAAUGAUUAAAAUGUUCCCUUCUCCUAUGGGAGCAUUCAUAUAUGUUCCCAUUCAUGCCAGGGUAUGAAGCAGGAAGAUUUAUUGCAUUAGACAAUGAGGAUCCAGAUUCCAGAUGAAACUCAAUCAGGAAGGGACUCUUUUUGAUAAAAGGUGAAGAUACAUACACUUCUUCAAAUAUUUCAGGCAAUGGAGUUAGAAAUAAGACAUAGGACAUUUUAUUAGAGAAAGAAGCCAUUUGUAGGUUAAGUAAUAAGACUAACGCCCACUGCCUCUGGAAAUAUAUUUGGAGAAUCACCUAAACAUUGAUCUUAUUGAUAAUUCUUGGAUGCCUGAGGGCAAAUCAUAGCAGAGCCAGAAUCUAAUGACUUCAAAUGAUAACAAGGACCCUAAAGAACAACAUAAGACAAGAACAAUAGCCCUUAACUGGAACAGUAUAGGGCACAAAGA